ACCUCUGGUUUAUCAGUUUGAGUUGAAAUUAGGUUUUAUGUGAUCCAUCAGCAAGUGAGCAACAUUCAUUCGAUGGCGGCAAUUUUGCAAGUAAAUUUUUUAGUUUCCCUCUCUCACUCUCAAACCGAUAUCAAAACCUAAGAUUAGCGGCAAUUACCUUAAAAAAAUAGUUUCCAUCUCCACUCUCCACUCUCAAACCACAUAACCCAAUUCAACCAUAAGUGAGUGGUUCAAUCGAUGAUUCAACCACCAGAAGUUUGCUUAAUCGUCUCUUGCGAGUGGUUCAAUCGAUGCUUCAACCCAUCUUCAAUUCUUGUUAAUAUAUUGGACAGUUUAACAGAAUUCCGGCCAACGUGAUUGCUUCUUGUUGAUUAGGAUGAUCAGAUAUUUCUAGAUAUGGAACUAUAUGGUUGGAAAAUUAUGAGAAUGAAGGGGGUAUUAUAAGAUCUCAAGAUGAGGUUGAUAAGGAUGAGGAGUAUGAAGACAAGGAUGAUAUGACAAGUUAAAAUUUUAACGAUUUACAUUUUUUUCAGCAAAAUGAGUUACUCUUUUUAUGAUUCUUUAGAUGCCUAUGUGCAGGUGAAAAUGAUGAUCUUUAAUGGAUUGAUAGUCAGAUGCCAUCCAAAUAGGUUUCCCACUCGAAAUUCUUUCCGUGCCUGAGUGCCCCCUUCUCUUUAGUCCUCUCUGCCCUUUCUUUGCUAGACCAUCACUAGCACAUUAAAUGGUAGUCGAUGCCUCCACCGGUGUGCUGUUGAUUACUUGAAGAAGGCGGUUGCGUACCUGCAAUUUUGGCUUCGUAGAACGCUUAUAACUAAAGCGGUCGGAAGGUAGCAUGGAGACGUUUGCUUAGAAGGCUUUCCUAGUUUGAUGUUUGAGGAACAAAAGGGUCGUUGACAAAAAUAAAGAGAUUAAUUCUCCCAACAAAUUCCUGGAAAAAAUACACAGUUGAAGAGAACCAUCAAAGGAAAAGAGCUAAAUGUUGAAGUGGCUUGGCCGCAUGGGUACCUUGAAGUUGAAAAGACAUAGUUGCUUGAAAUGCAAAAAAAAAUUGAA